rnacentral:rRNA from 1 species
UACAGAGGGGGCAAGCGUUGUUCGGAAUUACUGGGCGUGAAGGGCGCGUAGGCGGCCUUCUAAGUCGAACGUGAAAUCCCUGGGCUCAACCCAGGAACUGCGUCCGAUACUGGGAGGCUUGAAUCCGGGAGAGGGAUGUGGAAUUCCAGGUGUAGCGGUGAAAUGCGUAGAUAUCUGGAGGAACACCGGUGGCGAAGGCGGCAUCCUGGACCGGUAUUGACGCUGAUGCGCGAAAGCCAGGGGAGCAAACGGG